rnacentral:rRNA from 1 species
AAACGUGAGCGCUAGCUUACGUGGAGGCGCUGGUGGGAUACUACCCUAGCUGUGUUGGCUUUCUAACCCGCACCACUUAUCGUGGUGGGAGACAGUGUCAGGCGGGCAGUUUGACUGGGGCGGUCGCCUCCUAAAAGGUAACGGAGGCGCUCAAAGGUUCCCUCAGAAUGGUUGGAAAUCAUUCAUAGAGUGUAAAGGCAUAAGGGAGCUUGACUGCGAGACCUACAAGUCGAGCAGGGUCGAAAGACGGACUU